CCCUGGGUGGUGCAAAUGGUUAACAUACUUGGCUCUUGACCAAAAGGUUGGAGGUUUGAGUCCAUCCACAGGUG
rnacentral:tRNA from 1 species